UUAGAGGCCGUUAGAAUUUUGUCAGUACCCAGCGAUUCCCGUACACGGAUGUACGGGAAAGGACGACAUGAGCCCGGAUGGCGAAUGUCGUCCGGUCGCGUCCGGCACGCAAAAUCUUUCGCCAAAAUUCUUACAGCCUCUUCC
rnacentral:ncRNA from 1 species